rnacentral:rRNA from 1 species
UACAGAGGGUGCUAGCGUUGUUCGGAAUCAUUGGGCGUAAAGGGCGUGUAGGCGGUUUGUUAAGUCAUGUGUGAAAUCCCUCGGCUCAACCGGGGAAGGACGCAUGAAACUGGCAAGCUAGAGUACCAAAGAGGGGGGUGGAAUUCCCGGUGUAGCGGUGAAAUGCGUAGAUAUGUGGAGGAAUACCGAUGGCGAAGGCAGCCCCCUGGGAUAACACUGACGCUCAUGCACGAAAGCGUGGGGAGCAAACAGG